rnacentral:rRNA from 1 species
AUUGAACGCUGGCGGCAUGCCUUACACAUGCAAGUCGAACGGUAACGCGGGGCAACCUGGCGACGAGUGGCGAACGGGUGAGUAAUGCAUCGGAACGUGCCCAGUAGUGGGGGAUAGCCCGGCGAAAGCCGGAUUAAUACCGCAUACGACCUACGGGUGAAAGCGGGGGACUCGCAAGAGCCUCGCGCUAUUGGAGCGGCCGAUGUCAGAUUAGGUAGUUGGUGGGGUAAAAGCCUACCAAGCCGACGAUCUGUAGCUGGUCUGAGAGGACGACCAGCCACACUGGGACUGAGACACGGCCCAGACUCCUACGGGAGGCUG